GGCGGAUAUCGUUGAGGCGUAUGGAAGGGUUACUUCGAAUUCCCUCGGCAUGUCGUUGGUUCGAGUCCAACUCCCGCCG
rnacentral:tRNA from 1 species